rnacentral:lncRNA from 1 species
UUAGGGCUGACACAUGGCUUGCUGCUGGCAUCAGUGCUUCUGCUUGAGGAUGCUUUCUGGACUGGUUCAGCCAAGAAGCUACUGAGAAGCCUGGGACUGGCUCUGGGUGUCCAGCCUCAAAGUGAAGGCCUGUGCAUCCAUCAGAGGGAUAAAUAGUGGCCUGAAGAGCGUGUAGGUGAUUAAGGACUGGACUAGCUUGGAGCAGAGUGCCUGCCAGGAUCGUGUCCUUAGGGAGCACCUCCUAAAAGAUGUACAAACUUGCAUUCCCAACUGCAAAGAGAGAGGAUUAUCAAGUUGUAUACAGAGAAGAUGGAACAGAUCUCCAGUAAGUCUGCAUUAUCUUAGCUCUACAGAAUGAAAAGCUCCUGCCCGGGUCUG